AAGCGUGCGCAGGCGGUUUUGUAAGACUGUCGUGAAAUCCCCGGGCUCAACCUGGGAAUGGCGAUGGUGACUGCAAGGCUAGAGUUUGGCGAGAGGGGGGUAGAAUUCCACGUGUAGCAGUGAAAUGCGUAGAUAUGUGGAGGAACACCGAUGGCGAAGGCAGCCCCCUGGGUCAAAACUGACGCUCAUGCACGAAAGCGUGGGGAGCAAACAGGAUUAGAUACCCGAGU
rnacentral:rRNA from 1 species